GAUGAACGCUGGCGGCGUGCCUAACACAUGCAAGUCGAGCGGAUAGAGGAGCUGUUUGCUUCUUUGAUGUUAGCGGCGGACGGGUGAGUAACACGUGGAUCACCUACCUAUAUGACUGGGAUAACUUCGAGAAACCGGAGCUAACACCGACUAAUAUUUUGAACCGCAAGGUCAAUAAGUAAAAGACGGUCUUGCUGUCACUUAUCGCUGGCUCCGCGCUGGAUUAGCUGGUUGGUAAGGUAACGGCUUACCAAGGCAACGAUGCAUAGCCGACCUGAUAGGGUGUACGUGCGCACUGGAACUGAGACACGGUCCUGGCUCCUACGGGAGGCCGCAGUAGGGAAUCUUCCGCGAUGGGCGAAAGCCUGACGGAGCAACGCCGCGUGAGUGAUGAAGGUCUUCGGAUCGUAAAACUCUGUUAUUGUUGAAGAACAUAUUUGUAAGUAACUGUGCACAUCGUGACGGUACCUAAUCAGAAAGCCCCGGCUAACUACGUG
rnacentral:rRNA from 1 species